GACGAACGCUGGCGGCGUGCUUAACACAUGCAAGUCGAACGGAAAGGCCCUGCUUUUGUGGGGUGCUCGAGUGGCGAACGGGUGAGUAACACGUGGGUAACCUGCCCUUGACUUUGGGAUAACUUCAGGAAACUGGGGCUAAUACCGGAUAGGAGCGCCUGCUGCAUGGUGGGGGUUGGAAAGUUUCGGCGGUUGGGGAUGGACUCGCGGCUUAUCAGCUUGUUGGUGGGGUAGUGGCUUACCAAGGCUUUGACGGGUAGCCGGCCUGAGAGGGUGACCGGCCACAUUGGGACUGAGAUACGGCCCAGACUCCUACGGGAGGCAGCAGUGGGGAAUAUUGCACAAUGGGCGGAAGCCUGAUGCAGCAACGCCGCGUGCGGGAUGACGGCCUUCGGGUUGUAAACCGCUUUCGCCUGUGACGAAGCGUGAGUGACGGUAAUGGGUAAAGAAGCACCGGCUAACUACGUG
rnacentral:rRNA from 1 species